UCCGUAGGUGAACCUGCGGAGGGAUCAUUAACGAGCGUAAAAACUCCAAACCUUUGUGAAUCUACCAUUCGUUGCUUCGGCGGGCGGCUCCCGGGGGGAGCCUUGAAGCCCUCGCGGUGCCCGCCGACAGCCCCAUACUCUUCUGUAUUUCAGGCUUUUACCUUCUGAAUGCACAAACAAACAAGUAAAAACUUUCAACAACGGAUCUCUUGGUUCUGGCAUCGAUGAAGAACGCAGCGAAAUGCGAUAAGUAAUGUGAAUUGCAGAGUUCAGUGAAUCAUCGAAUCUUUGAACGCACAUUGCGCCCGUCAGUAUUCUGACGGGCAUGCCUGUCCGAGCGUCAUUUCAACCCUCAAGCACUGCUUGGCGUUGGCGGAUUGCGUGCCCUCGCGGCGCUGCAACCGCCCAAAUACAGUGGCGGUCCCGCUGCGGCUCCCUUUGCGUAGUAACUCACCUCGCACUGGACCGGGCGGCGGCCUGCCGUAAAACCCCAACUCACGAAAUGUUGACCUCGGAUCAGGUAGGAAUACCCGCUGAACUUAAGCAUAUCAAUAAGGCGGGAGGGGAAGGUCGGACUGGCCAAGGGCACACAGGGGGGGAUA
rnacentral:rRNA from 1 species